GAGCUUUUGCUCGUGAACCAAAUAUGGUCGGCUGGGUUGUCUUUGCGGAAACGCUUAGGCGACUUGUCUACGAAUUGUAAUCAUAAUAUGCGCGACGGUGAAUCCUUUGCAGACGACUUGAAUGGGAACGGGGUACUGUAAGUGGUAGAGUAGCCUUGUUGCUACGAUCCACUGAGGUUAAGCCCUUGUUCUAAAGAUUUGUUCA
rnacentral:rRNA from 1 species